rnacentral:tRNA from 1 species
GAGAUAGUGGCUGAUUGGUAAAAGCGGUAAAUUGUAAAUUUAUUUAGUUAUCUAAUUGUUGGUUCGAUUCCAAUCUAUCUCA